AUCUUAGCGUUAUGUAUCAUCAAUCACCAGUUAUAGUAUCAAAGGUAUGAGUAUUCCUGUGUACAGAUGAUUUUGUUUUUUUGGUAUUCGAUUUGGUUAUCUCUUCUUAAUUAUUAUUCUUUAAGUUUUUCGCUCUUGGUCACUUUGGCAACGGUUGGCGCAUAGCAAAUCAGCAAUAAUCCGCAGAGUACCAAAGUAGUUCCAGUCCACCACAUCAGAGACGUCGAUUCACCGAAUAUUAGAAAACCCAUGAGAGCCUAUGGGGACAUUUAUUUCUUUGUUAAUAACAAUUUACCACAUGUAAAAGUGUACGUACAGAUAAAACUUUGUGACAUGGAAAUAUCGGAUAACAUCUCGUUUAAUAUUGCAG
rnacentral:misc_RNA from 1 species